ensembl:lncRNA
CCCCCCCCCCCCCCACCCCGGGUGAGCCUUUUCAUUUAGUUUUGAUUCUCCCUUUCUAAUAAUGAUAAUCUUUCUAGCUUUAUAAUCUGUUGGUACCAGCCUAACUACAUCACUUGGUAUAUUUCUUGAUUAUACAACAGAUCACCAGGAUUUGCUAUGUUGGAUGCGAUGAGUCAAAAAACACCCUUGCAAUUCACUCAGACUUCAAGUGGUCAUCCAGACUAAUCACCAAUUAUUUAUUAUAAUUUAUGUGAGAUCCUUUCACAAACCAUAGGAACACUCUUACAGUAUUUCUCAUCUUCUGCAAUCCACAAAAGGCUGUCAGAGAAAGAUGGCUUACUAAAAUAUUGUGGUGUUGCAAAAGUUCUUCCUCCUAUCCUCCAAUCAUUUGUUAAGCUCCAGAUUCUCCCAUGGACAAACAGGAAUGUGAUGUGUAUAUAUGGAAAGAGGAAUUUAAUUCUAGUCAAUUUAGUAUUUUAACAGUUUAUUGUCCAAAAUUAAUGUCAAAGUUAAUACCUAAGCAAAACAAGAAAACAAUUGGAAAAACAAACAACGACAAAAAGGACUAAUAACAGUAGUUAAAAAAGAUUAGCUGUAUUUCUACUCCUUCUCUGUGGUGCUCUCUUUACCCUUCCAAUAUCCUCCUGAGUCCAAAAACUGAUCCUUUAGUUUUCCCUCAAGAAAAAGGGGUGCAAAGGGUUUGGGGUAAAGUUGUUUGCAAUGUCUUAGCAACAUCCAGAACUAUUUACCUUUGCCUUCUUGUGCUAUUCUCAUCUCCUGAUGUUCACAUGGGUCACAAGGUUAAGUCUUCCAGUUUUUAUCAAGAAUGGCAACUUACCUGACUCAGUGGAUACUGUUUGUUCUGCACUGGCUAUACUGGAGUUUCAGGCAUCUAACACAUGCAGUAUUUCUAGGACUUCAGCUGCAUCAGGUUAGUAGUAAUAGGCACUUGACUGUUUUAGCAGAUCCCAAGACCCUGAACUAUCAGAUCAGUACGAAGUUUAUGGCAGUUCACCUGUAAUGACAAAACCCUACUCAGGUUCAAUUAAAAAAAAAAAAAAAAAAAGAAAGGCAUUUUCCAGUGUAAUCCUCUGACACAUAAGCUCUUAACUCAUCUGAAUGCCAUUUACUUCAGUGCUUCCUACCUAUACUCUCAUGCAUAUACUUAUGCACGUGUUUACAUCUUUAAAAUUUUAUAGAUGAGACCACAUCCCACAGGCUUCUAAUCCAUGUGUAAAAUACUGUUUCAAAAUAAAGAGGCUCUCAGAUUUCAUUCAAAAUUCUAAUAUAUGAAAUAUUUAUUAAGAUACAUAUAUUAAUAUAUGGUUUUUAAGAAGCAGCAGAGUUGUAUAUCAAGUCAUCUUUUCUAAAAAAGAACUCAUCUUUACAAAAUUCUAGUAAGCUUUGAUUCAUACGAUACCAUUCCUAAUUCACUGAGUUCAAAGCAGAAUAAAAAGAUGGGUUACAUAUUUUCACUGUCUUAUCUUAGAUAUUUAAAUGUGAUAUCUUAAGUCUGUGCUAAAUAGUGCUUCUUGCUUUAUAGUCAAUCAGAAGUUAAUGUUUUAAACACCGUCUUUGGUUUCAAGUUGUCUUCAGUUGAGUUGCUCUAUCAUUUCCACUAUCUGUUUCAGUGU